GCCGCGGUAAUUCCAGCUCCAAUAGCGUAUAUUAACGUUGUUGCAGUUAAAAAGCUCGUAGUUGAAGUGAGGGAGUGUGUGGGUAUGAGAGCUAGUCUCGAGUGUUCACAACCUCCCCCCUCCAAUCGGUGUAGUGGGGUAUUCAGUUAUUCUACUACUCCUUUGGUCGUUUACUGUGAGAAAAUUAGAGUGUUCAAAGCGGGCGUUUGUUUGAAUAGAUUAGCAUGGAAUAAUGAUUGAAGGCUUUCGUGUUCGAUUUGAUUGGUUUGUUCAUGGAAGCAAGGUUAAAAGGAACAGUUGGGGGUAUUCAUAUUCACUAGUUAGAGGUGAAAUUCUCGGAUUUAUGGAAGAUGAACAGGUGCGAAAGCAUUUACCAAGGAUGUUUUCAUUAAUCAAGAACGAAAG
rnacentral:rRNA from 1 species